CCUAAAUUUCCCAUGGCAAACUGCUCAGUAACACAUGAUCAACUUACCCUAUAGAGAAAAAUAACCUCGGGAAACUGAGGAUAAUGUUUCAUAGUUGAAUUGGCUUGGAAAAGUUUUUCAACAAAAGGAAUAAGAUAAAUGGUUCUUAUUUGCUAUAGGAUAGGAUCGUGUUCGAUUAUGGUAGUUGGUGAGGUAAUGGCUCACCAAGCCGAUAAUCGAUAGGGGCCGUGAGAGCGGGAGCCCCGAGAUGGGUACUGAGACAACGACCCAGGCCUUACGAGGCGCAGCAGGCGCGGAACCUCCGCAAUACACGAAAGUGUGACGGGGUUACCCAAAGUGUCCAAUUUUGGACUGUGGUAGGUGAGUAAUGUUCCCUACUAGAAAGGAGAGGGCAAGGCUGGUGCCAGCCGCCGCGGUAAAACCAGCUCUUCAAGUGGUCGGGAUAAUUAUUGGGCUUAAAGUGUCCGUAGCUGGUUUAGAAAGUUCCUGGUAAAAUCAGGUAGCUUAACUAUCUGUAUGCUAGGAAUACUACUAUACUAGAGGGCGGGAGAGGUCUGAGGUACUACAGGGGUAGGGGUGAAAUCUUAUAAUCCUUGUAGGACCACCAGUGGCGAAGGCGUCAGACUGGAACGCGCCUGACAGUGAGGGACGAAAGCCAGGGGAGCGAACCGGAUUAGAUACCCGGGUAGUCCUGGGCCGUAAACGAUGCAUACUAGGUGAUGGUACGGCCAUGAGCCGUAUCAGUGCCGUAGGGAAACCGUUAAGUGUGCCGCCUGGGAAGUACGGUCGCAAGGCUAAAACUUAAAGGAAUUGGCGGGGGAGCACCACAAGGGGUGAAGCCUGCGGUUCAAUUGGA
rnacentral:rRNA from 1 species